rnacentral:lncRNA from 1 species
AUGAAAGCAGUGAAGUCCUUGCUUUUUCCUUCUCCUCCCCUUCCUCCUCCUCCUUCCUUCCCCUCUCCCAUCUCCCCUUCUCCUCCCCUUCUCUUCUUUCUUUUCCUUCUAGGCUGUUUCCUGGCACAGACAGGGCCCAUGCUCUCUGCUGAGGAUAAAGUGGCUUGCUCCUCGCUGGGAGAAGACUUCUGGGGACUGUUGUUCCAGCAUUUGGAUAAAAUGACAAAAUGAGAUUUUCAAAUCUUCCUUUCACAUUUUCCAGAUAUGAAUGGUACCAGAUUUACCAUUAAAAAAAAAAAAAUCACAGUUGAGCUUCCAACUUGUACUUUUUUUUUUUUUUCCAUUAAUGGGUUCUUUCCAAGACAGGAAAUCAACAAGAGAGAAAAAAUUUAUAGCUAGUCUCAGUUAAAGAAUGCCAUUUUGAGCACUGGAUUUUCUUUUCUGCUUUCAAAUACCCACAUUUGUCUUCACAUUUCUUCCCCAAAAUCCUCAUCAUCUUAUUCGACACGGUAGAUGCUUAAUAUGCUGACACUUAUGGGAAGAGAAGGUCUCUCCAGGGAGAGUCAUAGAGUUGUUCUGGGUGACUGCCGGAGCUGCUGACCUGAGCCAUCCUGGUGUUGCCAGGAUGCAGCGUGUCUCCAGUUUCAGUAGAUGAGAGGCUCAGGGGCACCUUGGGCUGGCUUUGUCUAUCCAGAUUUAGAAGAUGGCUUCAAAGAUGGAGCCAAGGCUCCAGAAAGAUCUUUCAUAAGGUUAUCCAUGGAGGUGACUGACUGGAGAAGAUGUCAGGGUCACGCACCUUGUUUUCCUCAAUAAUUUCUCUAUUCACUCCAGACUGUCUUCUUAAACUGUUAAAAUCAAAGAAAGAGUAUUUUUUAAAAUUAUGAUGCUUCUAAUGUACCUUUUGUAUUAUGUUCUGAGAGAGUUAAGAUAGGGAUAAGAUCUUAUAAUUAUACAAGUUAUUGUGUAUAAUUGCAUGAGAUAAACUUUUAAGAGGAGAAGAAAAGGUGGUUUAAUACAUUUCUGUCUCUUAGAAUUUUGGAAUUGUGAGAAGUCACCAAAAGAAGAGAACGUUAUCAUAGACCUUAGGAAUAGUGUUUUUAUUUAUCGUUCUCUUUAUUUUAAAAAUGAAACAGUUGAGAUUUUUCACCAAUAAAAUUGACAAAGAUAAUCUUUAUAUGAUCGUA